rnacentral:rRNA from 1 species
CCUACGGGAGGCAGCAGUGAGGAAUAUUGGACAAUGGGCGCAAGCCUGAUCCAGCCAUGCCGCGUGCAGGAUGACGGUCCUAUGGAUUGUAAACUGCUUUUGCACAGGAAGAAACAACAUUACGUGUAAUGUCUUGACGGUACUGUGAGAAUAAGGAUCGGCUAACUCCGUGCCAGCAGCCGCGGUAAUACGGAGGAUCCAAGCGUUAUCCGGAAUCAUUGGGUUUAAAGGGUCCGUAGGCGGUUUAGUAAGUCAGUGGUGAAAGCCCAUCGCUCAACGGUGGAACGGCCAUUGAUACUGCUAAACUUGAAUUAUUAGGAAGUAACUAGAAUAUGUAGUGUAGCGGUGAAAUGCUUAGAGAUUACAUGGAAUACCAAUUGCGAAGGCAGGUUACUACUAAUGGAUUGACGCUGAUGGACGAAAGCGUGGGUAGCGAACAGGAUUAGAUACCCUGGUAGUCCACGCCGUAAACGAUGGAUACUAGCUGUUGGAAGCAAUUUCAGUGGCUAAGCGAAAGUGAUAAGUAUCCCACCUGGGGAAGUACGUUCGNAAGAAUUGAAACUNAAAGGAUUGACGG